AUUGAUCAUUUUUCUUAGAAUUAACUCUGAGGAAGUAGAGCAAAGGCAUUGUUCAUCAGAAAGACCAGACAACGAGACAUAGUUGAUGUCAAGAUAAACUACAUGAGAGAAGCAUGAGGGAAAUCUGGCAAAGGUAAUCAUAUGCCGAGAAAAAGAGAAAUGUAAUUUAGGAAGUAGGAAACCAGUAGCUACUGUGAUUAGCUGGCAGAGAGGCAAAGGAAAAAGAGCUGAAACUCCAACUAAUAAUAUACAUUAAAAUGGAGGGAUGAUGUUUUUUUCCCACAUGCGUUUUUCUCUUUAUUAAAUAGGAACUGCAUUGAAAUUUGAAUGUAGCUUCUCAGAAUAAAUCUGGGCAUGUGUCCAACCUUGUUAUUUCCACUUCCAAGGUCAAUGAGCUAAUAUUUCAGUAGCACGUGUUUGCCUUUCAUUUAGGCUUAUUUCAAGCUCGAUCAUUACAGAGAAGGCUCUUCUCCUAUUCCUGUUCCAUUAUUGUAGCCCAUACCAGAGGAAAAGUGUUUCUGGACACUUGUAGACAAAGAAAAUAGCCCGACUCCAUUCUUCUUUAAGUCUAAUGACACGUGAAAUAGGUAUCAUUUGGUUAUGAUCGUAACACAAUCGCUAGUGUCUAACCCAGCAAACAAAGGUUUCAGAUAGAUCCCAAGAGACAAUUUUUCCUGAGAAAUUAGAACAGGAUUUCAGAAAUCAGCAG
rnacentral:lncRNA from 1 species